GAUGAACGCUGGCGGCGUGCCUAAUACAUGCAAGUCGAGCGAACAGACGAGGAGCUUGCUCCUCUGACGUUAGCGGCGGACGGGUGAGUAACACGUGGAUAACCUACCUAUAAGACUGGGAUAACUUCGGGAAACCGGAGCUAAUACCGGAUAAUAUAUUGAACCGCAUGGUUCAAUAGUGAAAGACGGUUUUGCUGUCACUUAUAGAUGGAUCCGCGCCGCAUUAGCUAGUUGGUAAGGUAACGGCUUACCAAGGCAACGAUGCGUAGCCGACCUGAGAGGGUGAUCGGCCACACUGGAACUGAGACACGGUCCAGACUCCUACGGGAGGCAGCAGUAGGGAAUCUUCCGAAAUGGGCGAAAGCCGGACGGAGCAACGCCGGGUGAGUGAUGAAGGUCUUCGGAUCGUAAAACUCUGUUAUUAGGGAAGAACAAAUGUGUAAGUAACUAUGAACGUCUUGACGGUACCUAAUCAGAAAGCCACGGCUAACUACGU
rnacentral:rRNA from 1 species